CGAAGAGGUUUGAAGGUGGUCCCACCUGACCCCAUGCCGAACUCAGAAGUGAAACGCCGUAGCGCCGAUGGUAGUGUGGGGUCUCCCCAUGCGAGAGUAGGGAACUGCCAGGC
rnacentral:rRNA from 1 species